rnacentral:tRNA from 1 species
GCUGAUAUGGCCGAGUCGUUAAGGCGAGUGAUUUGAAUUCUCAACAUCACUUGGGCAUUGCCCGCGUAGGUUCAAAUCCUGCUGUCAGCG